rnacentral:rRNA from 1 species
GUAGGUCACAAGCGUUGUCCGGAAUUACUGGGUGUAAAGGGAGCGCAGGCGGGAAGACAAGUUGGAAGUGAAAUCCAUGGGCUCAACCCAUGAACUGCUUUCAAAACUGUUUUUCUUGAGUAGUGCAGAGGUAGGCGGAAUUCCCGGUGUAGCGGUGGAAUGCGUAGAUAUCGGGAGGAACACCAGUGGCGAAGGCGGCCUACUGGGCACCAACUGACGCUGAGGCUCGAAAGUGUGGGUAGCAAACAGGAUUAGAUACCCUGGUAGUCCACACUGUAAACGAUGAUUACUAGGUGUUGGAGGAUUGACCCCUUCAGUGCCGCAGUUAACACAAUAAGUAAUCCACCUGGGGAGU